AUCAGGUAGGAAACAACGUCGUUUUAGAGAGGGAAAAAACGACGUCGUUUUGAAAGAAAAAAAAAACGACGUCGUUUUGGGAUGAAGGAAAACGACGUCGUUUUGGGGUAGGCUGGCAGAGUAUAAAGGGAGGUCGGGAAAGGGAGAAGAGAAAAGGAGGGAAGGAGGGCAGCGGAGACGAAGAAGAAGAGGAAAGUUCCAGAAGGAGAGAGGAGAGAGUCGGGGCGGAGGGGAGCGAGAAGGGAGAGGGAAGGAGGCCGUGGAC
rnacentral:lncRNA from 1 species